rnacentral:rRNA from 1 species
CCCUUAGAUGUUCUGGGCUGCACGCGCGCUACACUGAAGCGUUCAACGAGUAUUCACCUUGCCCGGGAGGGUUGGGUAAUCUUUUGAAAACGCUUCGUGAUGGGGAUAGAUUAUUGCAAUUAUUAAUCUUCAACGAGGAAUACCUAGUAAGUGCGAGUCAUCAGCUUGCGCUGACUUACGUCCCUGCCCCUUGUACACACCGCCCGUCGCUGCCCGGAACUGAGCCGUUUCGAGAAAGCCGGGGACUGACGGCUUGUGGGUGCGCAAGCGCUUCUUGCCGAUGGAAACCAGUUUAAUCGGUAUGGCUUGAACCGGGCAAAAGUCGUAACA